rnacentral:rRNA from 1 species
UACGUAGGUGGCAAGCGUUGUCCGGAUUUACUGGGCGUAAAGAGCGCGCAGGCGGUCGAUCAAGUCGCGUGUGAAAGCCCCCGGCUCAACUGGGGAGGGUCACGCGAUACUGAUCGACUCGAAGGCAGGAGAGGGUAGUGGAAUUCCCGGUGUAGCGGUGAAAUGCGCAGAUAUCGGGAGGAACACCAGUGGCGAAGGCGACUACCUGGCCUGUUUCUUGACGCUGAGGCGCGAAAGCUAGGGGAGCAAACGGG